rnacentral:rRNA from 1 species
UACGAAGGGGGGCUAGCGUUGCUCGGAAUCACUGGGCGUAAAGCGCACGUAGGCGGAUCUUUUAAGUCAGGGGUGAAAUCCUGGAGCUCAACUCCAGAACUGCCUUUGAUACUGGGGAUCUCGAGUCCGGGAGAGGUGAGUGGAACUGCGAGUGUAGAGGUGAAAUUCGUAGAUAUUCGCAAGAACACCAGUGGCGAAGGCGGCUCACUGGCCGGUACUGACGCUGAGGUGCGAAAGCGUGGGGAGCAAACAGG